UUUGAAGCGUGGACGCCAGUCUGCGUGGAGCCGACCUUGAAAUACCACCCUUUAAUGUUUGAUGUUCUAACGUGGAUCCGUAAUCCGGGUUGCGGACAGUGUCUGGUGGGUAGUUUGACUGGGGCGGUCUCCUCCUAAAGAGUAACGGAGGAGCACGAAGGUUGGCUAAUCCUGGUCGGACAUCAGGAGGUUAGUGCAAUGGCAUAAGCCAGCUUGACUGCGAGCGUGACGGCGCGAGCAGGUGCGAAAGCAGGUCAUAGUGAUCCGGUGGUUCUGAAUGGAAGGGCCAUCGCUCAACGGAUAAAAGGUACUCCGGGGAUAACAGGCUGAUACCGCCCAAGAGUUCAUAUCGACGGCGGUGUUUGGCACCUCGAUGUCGGCUCAUCACAUCCUGGGGCUGAAGUAGGUCCCAAGGGUAUGGCUGUUCGCCAUUUAAAGUGGUACGCGAGCUGGGUUUAGAACGUCGUGAGACAGUUCGGUCCCUAUCUGCCGUGGGCGCUGGAGAACUGAGGGGGGCUGCUCCUAGUACGAGAGGACCGGAGUGGACGCAUCACUGGUGUUCGGGUUGUCAUGCCAAUGGCACUGCCCGGUAGCUAAAUGCGGAAGAGAUAAGUGCUGAAAGCAUCUAAGCACGAAACUUGCCCCGAG
rnacentral:rRNA from 1 species